AUUGAACGCUGGCGGCAUGCCUUACACAUGCAAGUCGAACGGCAGCACGGGUGCUUGCACCUGGUGGCGAGUGGCGAACGGGUGAGUAAUACAUCGGAACGUACCUUAUCGUGGGGGAUAACGCAGCGAAAGUUGCGCUAAUACCGCAUACGCACUGAGGGGGAAAGCGGGGGACCGUAAGGCCUCGCGCGAUUAGAGCGGCCGAUGUCUAAUUAGCUUGUUGGUGAGGUAAAAGCUCACCAAGGCGAUGAUCAGUAGCUGGUCUGAGAGGACGAUCAGCCACACUGGGACUGGGACACGGCCCAGACUCCUACGGGAGGCAGCAGUGGGGAAUUUUGGACAAUGGGGGCAACCCUGAUCCAGCAAUGCCGCGUGAGUGAAGAAGGCCUUCGGGUUGUAAAGCUCUUUUGUCAGGGAAGAAACAGCAGCUCUAACACAGUCUGCGAAUGACGGUACCUGAAGAAUAAGCACCGGCUAACUACGUGCCAGCCGCCGCCGUAA
rnacentral:rRNA from 1 species